ACGGGGCGCAAGGACUGCCGGCGCGGCGCGCGGCAACGGGACAGCGUGGCGCGGCGCGGCAGGCGGCGGUGGCAGACGGGUCACGGGGAGGGGAUGGAGGAGAGAGGAAGAGAGAGAAAGGAGAGAGAAGGGGAUAAAUUUUAGGGAUUUGACAGUUGAUCAUCCAAACAAGAUUGACUGCGCCAAGGUUAAGCGUGCACUGAAGAAUUUAAAGAUAAGACAAGCCCUGCAAAUACAGAAUAUAACAUUGUUGGUUUGAGCAACAGGAGUUGCUCUGAACAGAUGUCAUUACUAUUGAAAUCCCCAUGGGCGUGGCACAGUUUGCCGUGCCCAUGAUGUGUUCGAUGAAAUGCCCGACUGGGACUGCCACGCCCACGAUAUGUUCGAUGAAGUGCCCGAUUGGAACGUUCUGGCUUGGACGACCAUGCUCUCCGGCUGCGCUUCCAGUGGCCGCCACCGCGACGCGCAGGACGUCUUCCAACGUAUCGCCGCGGCAGGCAUCGGUGUCAAUGAGUUCACGCUGGUCAGCAAACUUGCAUUACAGGCAGGUGGUCGUCAGGGCUAGGAACCUGAGGACCAAUGCGCAGUUCAUCCUGGCUAAGGUCUUCAAGGCAUGCAAGAUUUAUUAUACCAACAAGCUUUAAGCAAAGUUAUACUCCUGAUCACUUGGACUGAUUCAAGCAUUCCCCCCCCCCCCCCCCCCACCUAAAGGUGAUUCACUAUAGCGUGCAAGAAAGCUUAGAAGAAUACAUACAGGAAACUGGUUGUGCUGGGAGCGAUGGGCGGUUGUCACAUUGUCAUCUACUUUUUGAUCCAAAAACAUUCUAUAAGAUCCAUAGUUUUGCACACAGGUGAACAUUUUCUUCUGAUUUCCGCGUUCAAUCUGCAACAGUUGUAUCUAACAUUCUUUUUUUUUUUACAAUGACGGUGUUGAUGAAUAUGCCAUGAGUAAAUUUCUGUAAUAAGUAUUUUCCUGUGACAAUUCAAUGGGAUGCAUUUGUUCCUUGGUUAAAGAGUCGACUUCACGCAAGAUCAAUGUAAAAGAAAAGGUUUGUACCUGCCUCAUCAAUCAGCCGAAUACACAUGGUUUCUUUUUUUCAUGCGCUCAUGCUAUAUUUCAGGUAGUUUGUAGUUUCAAAUUGUGCUUUAUUUAUUUAACAAUAUCUACACCUAUUACUGCCAUUGGAAUGAACUUUCUCUCUAUUCUUUUUCUGUACAAAAAAAAACUUGUAUUGUCAAUGUGUUCUUUUUUCUUUAAAAAAAACUCGGAUAUAGUGACAGGAGAUAAAGCAGAAUAUUUUCAGAGUUUAUCAUAGAAAUAUAUAUACAUAUACACAUAAUAUCUAAGGAUAUAUUUACUUUACAGUUUUAAGAGGCUGGUUAUACAUGUUUAUUUGCAUUCCAUUUCUUGAAAAUAAGUGCACUAAUUCUAUUUACUAAUAUCUUCUAUUUGUACACAUGAAAAUAUUAUAGUACCAUAGAUAGCUACGUAUUUGGUUCUGCUAAAACUUAUAUUUGAUAAUGCAUGGGUACCACCACAAGAACAUUUGAAGUGUAAGUAGUUUCUUACAAGCACAACUCUCUCAGCCAAGCUUGCAAUAGCUCAAUUUUGUCAAAUGUAACAUUUAUCAUGUUGGAAUACCUUCAACGCCCCUUGAAUGUCAUGUCAUCAUGCUCAAGGUGUUAUUCCUACAACAUUCCUCUGACAUGCGUUUUGGAACUGCAGUGUUAAUACAGUUCCUUGCUGCCAUAACCUUCCAAUGUGCAAUUUUGAAUCAAUUUGCAUUCACUGACCACUCUCACCAUAUAAUAUGUGAACUGGUCGAACUGAAGCUUGACCAUUUACAUGUGUACUUUCAAUAUCUCCUGGAACGCUCGCGAGCUGACGAUGACGAGGGGCUCCUCAACCAGGGCCUUGUCGGAGAGUUGCCUCCCCGACGGCUCCAACGGUUCCGAUGGCUCUGCGCCGCCAAUGUUGCCAGCGUAGUUAGGUAUUUUAACAUUCAUGCUAUUUGCAGUUUUUAAAUUAAUACCUGACAUGGAUUUAGCAUCAUGACUCUUUCUUACUCUGAUCCGAUGUGGAUCCAUAACUUAAUUCAAAAAGUAUAUGACAUAAUGAUUGUAUUACUGGAAAUAGAAAAUUAGCUUAGUACUACCACGUAAAUACAUUGAAAAUACAUGUAACAAUAACAAGUAUAUCUUAGAUAUGGAUUAACAGACUGACUACUGAACAUAAUCAGUUUUGCAAAAAUGCACAAGAAGGGAUUAUUUUCGUUUCCUUAGCCUUCUCAUGUACCACAUGAAGAAUAUGACACAACAAACAAGGGUCAGCAGGCGAGGGUCUCCAAGCGCGGUAAAGCCGCGCCACUUUUCUAGUUCAUCCCUAGUUCGAGGGUCUUUGUUGAGAUAUCUUGUUAUUUUGGAUAAAAAAUAGAUAUUUAAAUUAUUUUAUUUUAUCUUAUAAACUCUAAAUCUUAUAUGGAUCUCGGAGCUUGCUACAUGGUAUUUUGCUCAAACAUAUGCACGAGAGAUCUCGAAAGAUAUGUGAAUAUUCACCGUAAUUCUUGUGUUUCUCAUGCCAGUUGUGCUGGAAUAUACUAUACGUACUUUAUCCUUGCUAAUAAUCUAAGUUAGGUCAGAGAUCUGAACUGAACAAAUUGAAGGUGCCGUAAGUUGGCUGAUCGAUGGAGACACAGUAAGCAGUCUAUUGAAGUGCACGAGAAGUCAACGCUGAUAGAGUUGGUUUGUGAGAACACAAGAGAGAUUUGUGUUGUUGAUGAUGAGUGAUUGAUGUAAUUGUUGAUUUAGAGCCUUUAGUUUGCAUAGUAUGUUUCAAUUAUGUUUGAUUAUGUUUAUGGCUAACCGGGGGUGAAAACAGAGGAUAGCGGAGAGAUAUGUUUCUUGGCUCAUGAUGUGUAGGUGUAUGGAUGCGACAUGACGGUCGACGGCAAGGUGGUGAAGGGCAAGUGGAGGCUUGGUACCGACGGACCGUACCAGACCGGGUGGAGCCAUGGGCGAGCCGCAUCGCUCACAUGGAGGGCACAAGAAAACAUGGUGGGAAGAGAAGGUGAUGAAGAUGGUGUCGACCAAGUCAAGAUGAAAAGGCGAUGGCAAGUCGAGAGACGGCCCAGUUGUAACACCCCGGGGACAA